UAUCGCUUGGCAAAGAUCCUCGAGUGUCAGGACCUUCAUUGAGCGUGGCAGUGUUUGCUGGCCUAGCUCGUGCUGGUUGUUUGGUGUUUGACAUGGGACUUGCUACUACUCCAGCUUGUUUCAUGAGCACGUUGCUGCCUCCAUUUGCCUAUGAUGCAUCAAUAAUGGUAGGGUAUAUGUAUAAAGUGAAUAACUUUAAUCGCAUCGCCAUUGAAUUCGCAUUUUGGAUUAGUUUAUAUGAGAUAAGAUAUUGUUGUGUUACAGAUGACUGCUUCUCACUUACCUUACACUCGAAAUGGUCUGAAAUUUUUCACUAAGAAAGGGGGGCUAACGUCGCCUGUGGUGGAGGAUAUAUGUGGCGAAGCUGCCCGGAAAUUUGCCAAUAGGCUGACCAAAGUGUCUACAGUGCUGAGAAAUCCUCCCACGAG
rnacentral:lncRNA from 1 species